rnacentral:rRNA from 1 species
UACGUAGGGGGCAAGCGUUGUCCGGAUUUAUUGGGCGUAAAGCGCUCGCAGGUGGUUCGUUGCGUCGUGCGUGAAAGACCCCGGCUCAACUGGGGAGGGUCGUGCGAUACGGGCGAACUGGAGGCCAGUAGGGGGAUGCGGAAUUCCGGGUGUAGUGGUGGAAUGCGUAGAGAUCCGGAGGAACACCAGCGGCGAAGGCGGCAUCCUGGACUGGUCCUGACACUCAG